GUCCACGCCGUAAACGAUGAAUGCCAGACGUCGGGCAGCAUGCUGUUCGGUGUCACACCUAACGGAUUAAGCAUUCCGCCUGGGGAGUACGGCCGCAAGGUUAAAACUCAAAGGAAUUGACGGGGGCCCCGCACAAGCGGUGGAGCAUGUGGUUUAAUUCGAAGCAACGCGCAGAACCUUACCAACCCUUGACAUGGGUAUCGCGGGACCGGAGACGGUCCUUUCAGUUCGGCUGGAUACCACACAGGUGCUGCAUGGCUGUCGU
rnacentral:rRNA from 1 species